rnacentral:rRNA from 1 species
UACGUAGGGUGCAAGCGUUAAUCGGAAUUACUGGGCGUAAAGCGUGCGCAGGCGGUCUUGCAAGACAGAUGUGAAAUCCCCAGGCUUAACCUGGGAACUGCAUUUGUGACUGCAAGGCUGGAGUACGGUAGAGGGGGAUGGAAUUCCGCGUGUAGCAGUGAAAUGCGUAGAUAUGCGGAGGAACACCGAUGGCGAAGGCAAUCCCCUGGACCUGUACUGACGCUCAUGCACGAAAGCGUGGGGAGCAAACAGG